rnacentral:rRNA from 1 species
UACGGAGGGUGCAAGCGUUGUUCGGAUUCACUGGGUAUAAAGGGUGCGCAGGCGGCUCGGUAAGUCAGGGGUGAAAUAUGACGGCUCAACCGUCAAACUGCCUCUGAAACUGCCUUGCUUGAGUCCGGGAGAGGAAGGUGGAAUUCCUGGUGUAGCGGUGAAAUGCGUAAAUAUCAGGAGGAACACCGGUGGCGAAGGCGGCCUUCUGGCCCGGUACUGACGCUCAUGCACGGAAGCCAGGGGAGCGAACGGGAUUAGAUACCCCGGUAGUCCUGGCCGUAAACGAUGGGCACUAGGUGUUGGAGGAGUCUACCCCUUCAGUGCCGCAGCUAAUGCACUAAGUGCCCCACCUGGGGAGUACGAUCGCAAGGUUGAA